rnacentral:rRNA from 1 species
GAUGAACGCUAGCGGCAGGCCUAAUACAUGCAAGUCGGACGGGAUCCGUCGGAGAGCUUGCUCGAAGACGGUGAGAGUGGCGCACGGGUGCGUAACGCGUGAGCAACCUACCUCUAUCAGGGGGAUAGCCUCUCGAAAGAGAGAUUAACACCGCAUAACAUAUGUGACCGGCAUCGGUUGGAUAUUAAAUAUUUAUAGGAUAGAGAUGGGCUCGCGUAACAUUAGCUAGUUGGGAGGGUAACGGCUUACCAAGGCGACGAUGUCUAGGGGCUCUGAGAGGAGAAUCCCCCACACUGGUACUGAGACACGGACCAGACUCCUACGGGAGGCAGCAGUAAGGAAUAUUGGUCAAUGGGCGGAAGCCUGAACCAGCCAUGCCGCGUGCAGGAUGACUGCCCUAUGGGUUGUAAACUGCUUUUGUCCAGGAAUAAACCUAGAUACGUGUAUCUAGCUGAAUGUACUGGAAGAAUAAGGAUCGGCUAACUCCGUGCCAGCCGCCGCCGUAA